rnacentral:rRNA from 1 species
UACGAAGGGGGCUAGCGUUGCUCGGAAUUACUGGGCGUAAAGGGCGCGUAGGCGGAUAUUUAAGUCAGGGGUGAAAGCCCGGGGCUCAACCUCGGAAUUGCCUUUGAUACUGGAUAUCUUGAGUUCGGGAGAGGUGAGUGGAAUGCCGAGUGUAGAGGUGAAAUUCGUAGAUAUUCGGCGGAACACCAGUGGCGAAGGCGACUCACUGGCCCGAUACUGACGCUGAGGCGCGAAAGCGUGGGGAGCAAACAGG